AUUGAACGCUGGCGGCAUGCUUUACACAUGCAAGUCGAACGGCAGCGCGGGCUUCGGCCUGGCGGCGAGUGGCGAACGGGUGAGUAAUGCAUCGGAACGUGCCCAGUAGUGGGGGAUAGCCCGGCGAAAGCCGGAUUAAUACCGCAUACGGCCUGAGGGUGAAAGCGGGGGACCGAAAGGCCUCGCGCUAUUGGAGCGGCCGAUGUCGGAUUAGCUAGUUGGUGGGGUAAAGGCUUACCAAGGCGACGAUCCGUAGCUGGUCUGAGAGGACGACCAGCCACACUGGGACUGAGACACGGCCCAGACUCCUACGGGAGGCAGCAGUGGGGAAUUUUGGACAAUGGGGGCAACCCUGAUCCAGCCAUGCCGCGUGCGGGAAGAAGGCCUUCGGGUUGUAAACCGCUUUUGUUCGGGAAGAAAUCCUCUGGGCUAAUACCCCGGGGGGAUGACGGUACCGGAAGAAUAAGCACCGACUAACUACGUG
rnacentral:rRNA from 1 species